GGGUACUUGAAUUGCUUAUUGCACCACAUGUGUUUUUCUUUGAAACAAACUUGCUUUGGCGGUGGGCCCAGCCUGCCGCCAGAGGUCUAAACUUACAACCAAUUUUUUAUCAACUUGUCACACCAGAUUAUUACUUAAUAGUCAAAACUUUCAACAACGGAUCUCUUGGUUCUCGCAUCGAUGAAGAACGCAGCGAAAUGCGAUACGUAAUAUGAAUUGCAGAUAUUCGUGAAUCAUCGAAUCUUUGAACGCACAUUGCGCCCUCUGGUAUUCCGGAGGGCAUGCCUGUUUGAGCGUCGUUUCUCCCUCAAACCGCUGGGUUUGGUGUUGAGCAAUACGACUUGGGUUUGCUUGAAAGACGGUAGUGGUAAGGCGGGAUCGCUUUGACAAUGGCUUAGGUCUAACCAAAAACAUUGCUUGCGGCGGUAACGUCCACCACGUAUAUCUUCAAACUUUGACCUCAAAUCAGGUAGGACUACCCGCUGAACUUAAGCAUAUCAAUAAGCGGAGGAA
rnacentral:rRNA from 1 species